UUAACUAUUAUAUAGUACUCAGACAUCACUAAAAUUCAGAGUUUGGUCCUCUGGCAGGCACACGCAGGCAGAGCCCGCGGUGGAGGCCACGGCCUGCCAAAGCAACUAAGGUAUAAGUAUUCAAGGGUGGGAGAUCUACCCGUGAGGGCAUGAACUCUGUAAUGAUCCUUCCGCAGGUUCACCUACGGAAA
rnacentral:misc_RNA from 1 species